UUGCAAUCACCAAAAGCGGCGACAGGUGGCAACAUCGAUCCGCUCUCUGAUCAAUAAUUGCGCUCAUCAGACAGGACGGCUGCGCUUUUACAAAUAAACGGAUCGAUACUUCUUGAUCGUAAACGGAAUGACGACAUAAAACCAAUAGGCUGACACGAAAUGGAUGACAUUUCGUCCCACAGACGGUCAUGUUAAUGCAGCACGCGUUUCAAUAUUUGGAAAAAAAAAAAAAUGAACAUGAUUGAGGGCUGCUUUCAGUCUUGGAGGUCGCCACGUUAUGAAACUUAAUUUUCUGAAUCUGGACUGGACACACUUUGUUCGAACAGCGAGAAAAUAAAUGAAAAGAAACUUGAAGAGGUGACCUGACCACGACGGGAACGAGGAAGUGGUGUACAGCGAAGGUCACGCGUCGCCACUUCUAAAAUGGACAGACUGGGAAUCAAACCUCAAAAGGCCUUUUGUCACAGGGCUGUGAGUGAGCUGGCGCUUUUUCCACCUGACCUUGGGCGAAAAAGUACUACAGCCUGGACCAAUCACAGGGAACAUACGAAGAAACAACCAUUCACAACUACAGCAACCACCUCAACCUUCUGACGUUGACCGUGGGUCCUGCCUCAACAUUUGCUGCUUUUUGUCUGCCUGUUUCCAUGCCUGUUUGGUGUUCUGCUGUCACGACAUCGAAGGGUGAGCUUCCCUGUCUAGCCCUUUCCCUUUGGAUUCCUGAGGAUUCAGACUAAAAAGUAUCUCAAACCCUUCCCAAAUGUGAAGAGAACCAUUAUCUAAACUUUGAAUUGAAUUAUACUAGCUACUCAUCUGCUUGUCUCUAGACCUGUUCACAAUGUAGCAGCAUAAGAACACUAUCGGUAGUCACAUAGAGGCAAGUCAUAAGGAAGUCUCAAGUCUUAGCUAUCAAGUUUCAAGCAAGUGCCAAAUUCCUGUGGCAAAAUUUCAAGCAAAUUGAGUCGUCGUUUGGUUAAGACAGUCGCAAGUCAAACAGUCGCAUGACUCGAGACAAGCCAAUGUGAUUCUAAAUCCCAACAAAUUGGAGUUCUUGGAGCAGACUGACUUUGAACGUUCCAAUAAACAUAAUCGUAGCCCCGAAGGCACCGUUUGAAGGAGUAAGGAGAGAGGUUGGCCACUGAAGACUUGAGGAUUGGGAUUACUUCGAUCAUUAGAUGAAUUACAAGCAGCUGCUUAAAGAGAGCAAAUCAUGAAAUGACUUGAGCAGGUUUUCAUGUUGAUCAGAGCGAAUCAAGUCCACAUGAACUGAUCAAAAAGUGACGCUCAACGAUGCGGCCACGGCGGGUAUAUUCGGAAGAAAAAAAAACAAAAUAAAAUUGAACUUACGAACCCUC